rnacentral:rRNA from 1 species
AAUCAAGUGCCUUAAGGGUGUUCGGUGGAUGCCUUGGCGCUGAGAGGCGAUGAAGGACGUGCUACGCUGCGAUAAGCCGUGGGGAGCUGCGAAGAAGCUUUGAUCCAUGGAUUUCCGAAUGGGGAAACCCACCUUCGAUAGCCGGAACUCCAAGACCUUGGUCUAAAGACAUCGGUGUGGGGUUGUGAGAGAUAAUCAAACGAUCCUUGACCGUUAGAUUUCGAUCGAAGAGGUUUUGGAUUUCCGGUUAUCAAGAGAAGGUAUGAGACUUCUGAAUACAUAGGAGGUUUCAAGCAAACCCAGGGAACUGAAACAUCUAAGUACC